rnacentral:tRNA from 1 species
GCAGAUGUAGUUUAAUGGUAAAACCCCAGCCUUCCAAGCUGGUGUUGUCGGUUCGAUUCCGUCUAUCUGCACCA